AUCCAGCUGAUGAGUCCCAAAUAGGAUGAAACGUGCGUGGUGGAU
rnacentral:hammerhead_ribozyme from 1 species